GCCCUUGGGAUAGCCCAGUUGGUAAAGCACAAGACUCUUAAUCUCAGUGUUAUGAGUUCGAGCCCCGUGUUGGGCG